AUGGCAUAGUCUCCCUAUGUCAUCAUAAAGCUAGUCAUUCCACAGUAAUGAUUUGCUCUGAGCUUGCAAGAGAGAGGCACGUUUUGUUAAUUGGCUAUGUAACGUUAGGAUUUUGGUCUGAACUGAAACCCUGACUGCGGGAGACAAACAUAUAAUGCAGAAGAUAGGAAGACUUUACUGUUCAGGUGCGAUACUACUCUAUGAUCAAUUUUACAGAUGUGAUGAAGUACCAAGGAUCAAGGAGGCAAUUGCAAAUGGCACAGAAGCCUAAACUAUGCUGGAAGGACUGAAAGCAAUAAAUUAUUCCUCCAAGCUCUACUCUGAAACAAGACCUUUACAAAGUAGACAAUGUGGAGAUCUGUUAGGCAUUUAGCGCUCUAUUCAGUUGGAGCAUACCAUAAAGCUAAACCAGAUCAGUCAAAGGAACCACAGGAGUUUCCAGCUUUAUUUGAUUCAGAGAACCAGAUGAAAAUUUCCUUUACAAAUACAGUAUGUUUGGGCCUUCAGCUAUAGUGAGGUACCACUGGAGAACGAUAGUUUAUCAUUCACAGCAGUGAAAAAGGAGGUCAUACAGGGAUCACCUCUCCAAUGACAUAAACAUGAGACUUUUCUCACAAGCUGUCAAACUUCAAUUGUUGGUGAGAUCUGUUGUGUCAGUGUUUCAUAAUAAUUGCUUCUAAGUCUUGUUAAAAGUCUAACACAAAUUACCUGAGUGACAUGCUUUUGGCACCAGUAAAGGAACGAUGUGGGGAAUGCACGUUGUGUAACAGACUUGCUUAUUACGAUUUUGAGUUUAUUGCCAUAAUUUUACCAUUACUUCCCAUUAUUUGAAAUACCGUAAUAAGAGUUGCAAGUUGUCUCAUGCUCACAAGGAAACAUUUGUUCCCUGGGUAAUAGACUA